rnacentral:rRNA from 1 species
GAUGAACGCUGGCGGCGUGCCUAAUACAUGCAAGUCGAGCGAACGGACGAGAAGCUUGCUUCUCUGAUGUUAGCGGCGGACGGGUGAGUAACACGUGGAUAACCUACCUAUAAGACUGGGAUAACUUCGGGAAACCGUAGCUAAUACCGGAUAAUAUUUUGAACCGCAUGGUUCAAAAGUGAAAGACGGUCUUGCUGUCACUUAUAGAUGGAUCCGCGCUGCAUUAGCUAGUUGGUAAGGUAACGGCUUACCAAGGCAACGAUGCAUAGCCGACCUGAGAGGGUGAUCGGCCACACUGGAACUGAGACACGGUCCAGACUCCUACGGGAGGCAGCAGUAGGGAAUCUUCCGCAAUGGGCGAAAGCCUGACGGAGCAACGCCGCGUGAGUGAUGAAGGUCUUCGGAUCGUAAAACUCUGUUAUUAGGGAAGAACAUAUGUGUAAGUAACUGUGCACAUCUUGACGGUACCUAAUCAGAAAGCCACGGCUAACUACGUGCCAGCAGCCGCGGUAGUACGUAGGUGGCAAGCGUUAUCCGGAAUUAUUGGGCGUAAAGCGCGCGUAGGCGGUUUUUUAAGUCUGAUGUGAAAGCCCACGGCUCAACCGUGGAGGGUCAUUGGAAACUGGAAAACUUGAGUGCAGAAGAGGAAAGUGGAAUUCCAUGUGUAGCGGUGAAAUGCGCAGAGAUAUGGAGGAACACCAGUGGCGAAGGCGACUUUCUGGUCUGUAACUGACGCUGAUGUGCGAAAGCGUGGGGAUCAAACAGGAUUAGAUACCCUGGUAGUCCACGCCGUAAACGAUGAGUGCUAAGUGUUAGGGGGUUUCCGCCCCUUAGUGCUGCAGCUAACGCAUUAAGCACUCCGCCUGGGGAGUACGACCGCAAGGUUGAAACUCAAAGGAAUUGACGGGGACCCGCACAAGCGGUGGAGCAUGUGGUUUAAUUCGAAGCAACGCGAAGAACCUUACCAAAUCUUGACAUCCUUUGACAACUCUAGAGAUAGAGCCUUCCCCUUCGGGGGACAAAGUGACAGGUGGUGCAUGGUUGUCGUCAGCUCGUGUCGUGAGAUGUUGGGUUAAGUCCCGCAACGAGCGCAACCCUUAAGCUUAGUUGCCAUCAUUAAGUUGGGCACUCUAAGUUGACUGCCGGUGACAAACCGGAGGAAGGUGGGGAUGACGUCAAAUCAUCAUGCCCCUUAUGAUUUGGGCUACACACGUGCUACAAUGGACAAUACAAAGGGCAGCGAAACCGCGAGGUCAAGCAAAUCCCAUAAAGUUGUUCUCAGUUCGGAUUGUAGUCUGCAACUCGACUACAUGAAGCUGGAAUCGCUAGUAAUCGUAGAUCAGCAUGCUACGGUGAAUACGUUCCCGGGUCU